AGGCCAGUCCCUGAGUAGGAAUGGACAACAAGGUGGUCACCAUGCUGACAGCUAUUCCCUGUGUGAUUUACUUUAUUAUGAAGUCUAAAUUUGAUGCUGAAGUGCUAGCCUAAGCUCACUAACCUGCCAACUUAGAGAAGAAGGUAACCAUGGCUAGGAUGACUGGGAAUCUGAUGGACUCAAUUAAGAAUUUCUACAGAUGGGAAAACCAAAACUCCUUAGUGGCAAGAGGCCAAAGAUGGUCAGCGAAUUGUUGUUUCCGGCUGUUGGAAGUUGACUGCAGUUGAAUAACAGAACAAAAACGGAGCUUCAAAAUCAUGGCGUGCCUGCUUCUUCUGGGUUCUUUUAACUGCAAGCAAUCAGCUUUGAAGAGCACGUAGGGAACUUCUGAUGUGAUACAAACUUUUGUCUUUUUUUUUUUUUUUGUCUUUUAAGAGCAUUCAAAAACA
rnacentral:lncRNA from 1 species